rnacentral:rRNA from 1 species
GAUGGACGGUAGCUACAGGCUUAACACAUGCAAGUCGAGGGGCAGCACAGUGUAGCAAUACACGGGUGGCGACCGGCGCACGGGUGCGUAACACGUAGCCAAUCUGCCCGUUACUGGGGGAUAGCCUUCGGAACGGAAGAUAAAUACCCGUAAGGAUUCAUUUGCGGCAUCGCUGAUCAUUUAAACAUUUAUCGGUAAAGGAGGAGGAUGCGUACGAUUAGCUUGGUGGCGUGGUAACGGCCCACAAAGGCUACGAGCGUUAGGGGUUCUGAGAGGAAGGUCCCCCACACUGGAACUGAGACACGGUCCAGACUCCGACGGGAGGCAGCAGUGAAGAAUAUUGGUCAAUGGUCGAGAGACUGAACCAGCCAAGUAGCGUGAAGGAUGACUGCCCUAUGGGUUGUAAACUUCUUUUGUUUGGGAAUAAAGUCAGGUACGUGUACCUGUUUGUAUGUACCAUUCGAAUAAGCAUCGGCUAAUUCCGUGCCAGCAGCCGCCGCGGUAA